rnacentral:rRNA from 1 species
UACAGAGGGGGCAAGCGUUGUUCGGAAUUACUGGGCGUAAAGGGCGCGUAGGCGGCCCUGUCAGUCGGGUGUGAAAGCCCGGGGCUCAACCCCGGAACGGCACCCGAGACGGCAGGGCUGGAGACCGGAAGAGGUAAGUGGAACUGCGAGUGUAGGAGGUAGAAAUUCGUAGAUAUUCGCAAGAACACCAGUGGCGAAGGCGGCUCACUGGCCCGAUACUGACGCUGAGGCACGAAAGCGUGGGGAGCAAACAGG